GACGAACGCUGGCGGCGUGCUUAACACAUGCAAGUCGAACGAAGAGCGAUGGAAGCUUGCUUCUAUCAAUCUUAGUGGCGAACGGGUGAGUAACGCGUAAUCAACCUGCCCUUCAGAGGGGGACAACAGUUGGAAACGACUGCUAAUACCGCAUACGAUCUAAUCUCGGCAUCGAGGAAAGAUGAAAGGUGGCCUCUAUUUAUAAGCUAUCACUGAAGGAGGGGAUUGCGUCUGAUUAGCUAGUUGGCGGGGUAACGGCCCACCAAGGCGAUGAUCAGUAGCCGGUCUGAGAGGAUGAACGGCCACAUUGGGACUGAGACACGGCCCAGACUCCUACGGGAGGCAGCAGUGGGGAAUCUUCCGCAAUGGACGAAAGUCUGACGGAGCAACGCCGCGUGAGUGAUGACGGCCUUCGGGUUGUAAAGCUCUGUUAAUCGGGACGAAAGGCCUUCUUGCGAACAGUUAGAAGGAUUGACGGUACCGGAAUAGAAAGCCACGGCUAACUACGUG
rnacentral:rRNA from 1 species